UACGAAGGGGGCUAGCGUUGCUCGGAAUGACUGGGCGUAAAGGGCGCGUAGGCGGAUGGCACAGUCAGAUGUGAAAUUCCCGGGCUUAACCUGGGGGCUGCAUUUGAUACGUGUUGUCUAGAGUGAGGAAGAGGGUCGUGGAAUUCCCAGUGUAGAGGUGAAAUUCGUAGAUAUUGGGAAGAACACCGGUGGCGAAGGCGGCGACCUGGUCCUUGACUGACGCUGAGGCGCGAAAGCGUGGGGAGCGAACAGG
rnacentral:rRNA from 1 species